UUAAUUCCAGCUGAUCCUGCUGGCGGAUACUGCUAUCGAAGUUCGAUUCAGCCAUGCAAGUCUAAGAGUCCAGCUAUGGAGACUCUGGCAUACGGCUCAGUAACACGUAGUUAACCUACCCUUAGGAAGAGUUAAUCCUGGGAAACUGGGGAUAAUGCUCUAUAGGAAAAAGAUACUGGAAUGUUCUUUUUCUUAAAUGAGAUACACCAUGCAAGUUAUCGCCUUAGGAUGGGACUGCGGUGGAUUAGGUAGUUGGUGAGGUAAAGGCUCACCAAGCCGAAGAUCCAUACGGGCCUUGAGAGAGGGAGCCCGGAGAAGGGUACUGAGAUAAGGACCCUAGCCCUACGGGGUGCAGCAGGCGCGAAUCUUUUACAAUGCACGAAAGUGUGAUAGAGGGACUUCGAGUGCCAACUUUGUUGGCUUUUGUUAACUUUAGAAAGGUUAGCGAAUAAGGACUGGGUAAGAUGCGUGCCAGCCGCCGCGGUAAUACGUACAGUCCGAGUGGUAUCCCCUUAUAUUGGGCCUAAAGCGUUCGUAGCCGGUUCUGUAAGUCCUUUGUGAAAUCGGCUCUCUUAAGGAGUCGAAUUGCAAGGGAUACUGCAAAACUCGAGACCGGGAGACGUGAGGGGAAUUUUCGGAGUAGUGGUGAAAUGCUGUGAUCCCGAAAAGACCACCAGUAGCGAAGGCGCUUCACGAGAACGGCUCUGACGGUGAGGAACGAAAGCUGGGGGAGCGACCGGGAUUAGAUACCCCGUUAGUCCCAGCCGUAAACGAUGCGGACUAGGUGUCCUAGCACCCACGUGGUGUGGGGGUGCCGAAGCGAAGGUUUUAAGUCCGCCGCCUGGGAAGUAUACUCGCAAGGGUGAAACUUAAUGGAAUUGGCGGGGGCGCACUACAAGGGGUGGAUGCUGCGGUUUAAUUGGACACAACGCCAGAAAACUCACUAGAGGCGACAGUAGAAUGAUGGACAGUCUGAAGGGCUUUCCUGACACGCUGAGAGGUGUUGUAUGGUCAUCGUCAGCUCGUACUAUGAAGCGUCCUGUCAACUCAGGUAACGGGCGAGACCCAUGUCUCUAGUUGCUACUUUCCGAUUCCGGAGGGGCACUCUAGGGAGACUGCAGUGGCAACACUGAGGAAGGAAUGGGCAACGGUAGAUCUGUAUGGCCCGAAUCUUCUAGGCUACACGCGGCAUACAAUGGACAAGACAAUGAGUUUCGAGCCCGAAAGGGUAAGGUAAUCCCCAAAACUUGUCCGUAGUUCGGAUUGAGGAUUGUAACUCAUUCUCAUGAAGCUGGAAUCCCCAGUAAUCGCGUGUCACUAUCACGCGGUGAAUUAGUCCCUGCGCCUUGCACACACCGCCCAUCAAGCCAGCUGAGUGAGGCUUGGAUGAGGCCGAUCUCUUAGAGGUCGUUCGAUUCUAAGUUUCGCGAGGGGGGCUAAGUUGUAACAAGGUGUCCGUAGGGGAACCUGCGGACGGAUCACCUCCUU
rnacentral:rRNA from 1 species